AAACCAGCACCUCAAGUGGUCAGGAUGAUUAUUGGGCCUAAAGCGUCCGUAGCCGGCUCUGUAAGUUUUCGGUUAAAUCUGUACGCUCAACGUACAGGCUGCUGGGAAUACUGCAGGGCUAGGGAGUGGGAGAGAUAGACGGUACUCGGGAGGAAGUGGUAAAAUGCUUUGAUCUCUCGAUGACCACCUGUGGCGAAGGCGGUCUAUCAGAACACGUCCGACGGUGAGGGAUGAAAGCUGGGGGAGCAAACCGGAUUAGAAACCCCGGUAGUCC
rnacentral:rRNA from 1 species